rnacentral:lncRNA from 1 species
GUGGCUGCUUCAGGAAUAUCAGAGGAACUGAGCGCCCUGCAUUCUUGUGUGCUUGACACACUUUCAGAGGCGUGGGCGCCCUCCACAAGACCUUAGUACGCCCUUAAAUAAGGAGUGUUUGUGAAAUGGUGGCGUGAUGCUCAUAUCGACCCGGAUGCUUGCUCCGAGUCAGAUGUUCUGCAUUUUCUACAGUACAGGCUGGAUAGUGGAUCUCUUCCGUCAACUCUGAAAGCCUAUGUGGAUGCUAUUGCCUCGUUUCGUUCCCUGCUGGGCGGGCAAUCAUCAGGCAUGCGCUGGUGGUGAGAUUUCUUAAGGGGGUGAGGAGAUUGCAUCCCACGCAUCUGCCUUCAGUCCCACCCUGGGACCUAGAGGUGGUGUUAAGAGCUCAUUCACAGCCACCAUUCGAGCCUUUAGCAUCCAUUGCUAUGAAGGAGCUAUCUCUCAAAACUGCACUUCUUCUUGCUCUUGCUUCGGCUAAGCACAUAGGGGAUUUACAUGCGUUUUCUGUGGACAGUGAUUGUAUUCGCUUUGGACCCGGUGACUCCAUCUACUCCCUUCAGAGCGCAAACUGUUUGGCUCUCUGCCCUGUCUUCUGAGUCAUCGACCUUGUGUGAUGCAGACACUCAGAUUUUGGUGUGCCCUUUCAGGGCUUUGAGGACUUACAUUGACCGUUUGGCCAGCUUACGGCAGUCUGACCAGCUUUUCGUGUGCCACUGUGGUUGUAUGAAGGGCCGGGCCGUGUCAAAACAGAGACUUUCCUACUGGAUUGUGGACGCUAUCACGGCUGCUUAUACUGUACGAGCCAAGGUUUGGAAUGCCCCUUUCACAUUAGGGCCCACACAACAAGAGCUAUCACUUCCUCAUGGGCAUGGUCAAGAGGAUAUAUGUCUUGCAGCUGACUGGUCUUCUCAGAAUACCUUUGUCAGGUUUUACAAGCUGAACGUUCAGUCCUUAGCUUCCGAAGUACAGUCGAUAUCUGCUUCCUGUCACUGGCACCAGAAGACAACAGGAGUCUGACAGACUGACCUGAGCUCAGAGAGAAGAACAUCUCAUGCAGGUACUGUAUGAAGGACACAGGCACACACAAUCAGCGAGGACACACCACUGCAACAUCAUGGGCGUAUGUACAUGAACAACCCCAGACAAACACACAUACAGAUUAAAAACACAUAAGAUUUUUUUUUGUAGACUACAUAAGCAUGACCGAUUCACAGCUGCGCAUUCAACACCUAACUCAACAGCAAAUGCAAUGUAUCACAGGAGAACUUCUGGGCUUAAUAACACUCAAAUACAGUCAUAGUCGUUCAGAUUUGUGCACAUUCAACUAAAAAUCUGCAAUCAAAAGUAAUCACACAGCAAAGCAUUAUCUGGGUAACAGCUAGUCUCUCAGCAAGUCUCUCUUCCACAGAAAUACAUAUGCUGUGAAAUAUUAUGUCUGCUGCAUGAGGUGCUACAGGUCAAAGGUUAAGCAUGUAAAGCUACACGGAUGUUCACAUGACUCUGAAUAUACUACAUGUCUUUGAACACAAACAUACAGUGCUGGUGUCAGACUCAUCUACAGUAAGACUUUUGUGGUAAAAGGGGAAAGUGUUUAAGAGCCGGUCAUGACUGCUGAACCUGCGAGGCAUGUUUUUUUAUUAUUAUUAUUAUUUUAAUAAGCUGUAUGAAAAGACACAAUCCCUUUUUUGCUCUCCUACUGUAUACCCUCUUUUUUCUUCUCUUUGUCUUUCAUGUUCUCCAACUCUCUCUCUCACUUCCCUAUUCAACCUUUCUGUUGUCAUUUUAGUUUUAUUAUGUGCAUGACCUUGGCUAGCUUCACUUCGUGACUUUAUUCUGGACUGUGUGAACUGUAAAGAAGGAUUGUUUGGGUAUCUUGAGUUGACCUUGCUGUAUCCACCUAAAGUAUGUGAGACAGGUCCUCCCGCUUGCUGCUAAUGAACCAGAGGGGGAUCGAAACCUGACACUGAGGAGUAAAACUCAAUUAAAAGUAACAGAAAGCAUGAUCAUUUACCUUGAGUUUACCUCUGAGUAAACAGAUUAGUGAUUCGUCUUCCAUUCAUAGAUGGUUUUUGUGCUGAUUGCGCUAUUAUCAGACUUCAGCAGUUCAGACUUUGAGUUGGACACAGACUCAUAUUUGAAAAAGAAAGCAGCAGGCCUCCUUUGUUAGCAAAUGAGCUGCUUAAGGAAGUAGGUUUGUUGCCCGAUAAUGAGAGACUAGGAAGAAAAACAGAUAAGAGGGUGGUUAUGAAAAGGAGUUACAGUGUUCACAGGGGAGUCAGCCUUCGCCUUCUGCAAUCAUCAUUAUAAGGGUCCAUUUCUCCCACCAAGCAAAGCAUGUAAAGCACAAUUACUACAUUCUUAACUCUUUUUAGCAUUUCAUCCAAAAAUUCUACAUUUCUGUCUCUCAUUAUUAUCCACCAUCUAUCAGCAGUUAUGUAUUUAAAAGGUUGCUCUCAGUAAACCAUGAAUCGGUCAACAGACUAAUUAAAGCACCACUGCUAAAACAUCAAAAUUAAAAAUUACACUACUGUUCAAAAGUUUGGGGUCAGUAAGAUUUUUUUUAUUUAUUUAAUUAAUAUUUAUUUAAUUAAUAUUAAUAUUAAUUUAUUUAAAUUAAUACUUUUAUUCAGCAAGCACAUAAUGAAUUAAUCAAAAUUACAGUAAAGGCAUUUAAAAUGUUACAAAAGAAUUGUAUUUCAAAUAAAUGUUAUUCUUUUGAACUUCUAUUCUUAAAAAAAAAAUCCUGAAAUA